rnacentral:rRNA from 1 species
UACGUAGGUCCCGAGCGUUGUCCGGAUUUAUUGGGCGUAAAGCGAGCGCAGGUGGUUUAUUAAGUCUGGUGUAAAAGGCAGUGGCUCAACCAUUGUAUGCAUUGGAGACUGGUAGACUUGAGUGCAGGAGAGGAGAGUGGAAUUCCAUGUGUAGCGGUGAAAUGCGUAGAUAUAUGGAGGAACACCGGUGGCGAAAGCGGCUCUCUGGCCUGUAACUGACACUGAGGCUCGAAGGCGUGGGGAGCAAACAGG